GGAAGGAAUGGCCUGCGCUCUGGCUGGCACUGCGGUCCCCCUGCCCGCCCCGGGGGCGUCUUGUCCGAGGUCCAGAUUGGAUUCCCGGAUUUUUGCCCGAAUUGGUGCUUGGGCUGGGCAGGACAAUGCACACUGGGAGCCGUGCUGGGGCCAGUAGUCUGGUUCAGUGCGCGCGCGCGUGUUUCCAGCUCUAUGGCGGGGCUGCGGGGAGGCUCGUGUUUCCAUGGCCUUUGGGGGGCCCAGCCCUUCUCGGAGGGCCCCCUGGCAGGACGGUCCCCAGCUCGCGCCCGAGCCAGUACAGGGAUGUGACCUGGCCUGUGCCACAGUGUACGUUGUCCCUCCACCUCAGAAUGUUCGGAGAAAUGAAGAGGAGGAGGAGGAGGAGGUGGAGACAGUGCCCAGACAGCUUCCAGCCCAUUGCCAAAGCCAUGGUGCGCUGACCCAGCCCUGGGCCUUGGGAGGAUGGCCAGCGGGCGCGGAGGCCCUCUCCUGUGCAAGCCGCGGGCAGCCAAUCCUGAGCCCCUCUGCCUCUCCCCGCACCGCUCUCUGCAGCUGGCCCUAAUGAUGGAUGGGGCUGUUCAGCAGUACCUUUUGGGGGACAGGGACCAGCACUGCGUCUAAUUACCCCCUUCUCCAGUGAGACAGAGCAGGACAGAAGGGACAGAAUGGAGGCCGCUUGCAACAGGAAGCAGGAAGGGCAGAUACCGUGGCCCAAGGGACCAUGGAGUCCCUUCAGCCUUCAGUUUCCUGAAGUCAGUGAUUGUCUCGAAAGUCUGGAUUGUCAGGAAAGAGGGAGGUCUUCGGGGGAAAACUCAAGAAGAGGAAACCAAACUAUAGCUUUGGAUGGAGACCAAAGAUGAGAAAAAAGGGGGGAAAUGACUUUCCCAAGGUCACCCAGAUAUGAAGUGGCAGAGAAGCAGGUCUUGGGGUACCAUCUGAGAUGCUCUUUCUCAUGCCUUAAUGGUGAUCUGACAAUGACAGGGGAGAGGAUUCCUACACUACCAAGGCCAAGGUCAUUAUGAGAUUUAUUAUGAACAACAGCAGUCAUUAUUACUAACUACUUGAGAAUUCUUAGAGAUAAGAUCAAGGUAAUAAAUCUUUGAAAAACA